rnacentral:rRNA from 1 species
UACGUAGGGUGCAAGCGUUAAUCGGAAUUACUGGGCGUAAAGCGUGCGCAGGCGGUGAUGUAAGACAGAUGUGAGAUCCCCGGGCUCAACCUGGGACCUGCAUUUGUGACUGCAUCGCUAGAGUACGGCAGAGGGGGAUGGAAUUCCGCGUGUAGCAGUGAAAUGCGUAGAUAUGCGGAGGGACACCGAUGGCGAAGGCAAUCCCCUGGGCCUGUACUGACGCUCAUGCACGAAAGCGUGGGGAGCAA